UCAAUCUAAAAAGGAUAAACAAAAGACGUUAAGAAGUGAGAAAGAUCUUUUGCAUGUGAAAAUUUUUAAUAUUUUUAAAGCACCAAGCAACAUUUCUUCACCACAUCUCUCAUUUUUUCAUUUCUUUGUUUUCAUGGUCAUUCUGGAGUUUAAUUACAAACACAUUUUUUUUGUUCAUGGUCAUUCCCAGGUUUAAUUGCAAACAGAUUCCAAAUGUCCAGUCCAGGUUGACAGCUGGGAGGACAAGAGUCUCACAUCUACCCCACAACAGAGUUGAUUGUCUUGGAGUGACCUGGAUAGCCCCCCAUCACCCCAGGCCUCCUCAGGAGAAGAGGAGAGACAAACUGACUGAGGAGUUUGGGAGAAAGAACCAGGCCUGCAACUCAGCUCCUGCUCUACUCUACCCUGACCUGAAUGCCUGUACCUGGCUGCUCUCAGUAACCUGAGGAAAGUCUGCAGUUGUCCAGCUGUGCAGUGACUGAUGACCACUGAGUAGGAUCCAGUGUGACCCUCCACCCAGCCUUCCAAAUUAUGCUUCAGAUUGAUCCUGGCUCUCAGCAUCCACCUUGACCCAGGCUUCGAUUUCACUUUUUGGCGCCCAAGUUCACCAGCAGCUCCCAAGCCCUGCCUGCGUUUACCAAGACACCAGCCUGGGAUCUGGAGGUAUCACACAAGGCCCCACACACAUGUAAUUUGUGUUGGCAUUUCUCUCCCCACAUGCCUUUUGCUAUUUUAGCUUCUCUCAGAUACACAGUCUUUGUUCUAAAAGUCUCCGUGUCCUGAAUUACUUCCUUGCCCUCUGUACAGGAUCAAAACCAGCUGUUAGAGCUGGUUGUUCCUUUCUUUAACAAUCGGUCUGGCUUUUAAGUUAGCUCUCGU